UACGUAGGGGGCUAGCGUUGUCCGGAAUCAUUGGGCGUAAAGCGCGUGUAGGCGGUCCGGUAAGUCCGCUGUGAAAGUCGAGGGCUCAACCCUCGAAUGCCGGUGGAUACUGUCGGGCUUGAGUACGGGAGAGGCGAGUGGAAUUCCUGGUGUAGCGGUGAAAUGCGCAGAUAUCGAGAGGAACACCAGUGGCGAAGGCGAGUCCCUGGACAGGUCCUGACGCUGAGGCACGAAAGCUAGGGGAGCAAACAGG
rnacentral:rRNA from 1 species